UACGAAGGGGGCUAGCGUUGCUCGGAAUCACUGGGCGUAAAGCGCACGUAGGCGGCUUUCUAAGUCAGGGGUGAAAUCCUGGAGCUCAACUCCAGAACUGCCUUUGAUACUGGAAAGCUUGAGUUCGGGAGAGGUGAGUGGAACUGCGAGUGUAGAGGUGAAAUUCGUAGAUAUUCGCAAGAACACCAGUGGCGAAGGCGGCUCACUGGCCCGAUACUGACGCUGAGGUGCGAAAGCGUGGGGAGCAA
rnacentral:rRNA from 1 species